UUUUUUUUUUUAAAUAUUUAUUUAUUUAUUUAUUUUUAGUUUUCGGCGGACACAACAUCUUUGUAUGUGGUGCUGAGGAUCGAACCCGCGCCACACGCACGCCAGGCGAGCGUGCUACCGCUUGAGCCACAUCCCCAGCCCACGAGGUACCCUCUUAAUCGCUCUCUCCUUGAUCAGUGAUCUCCGCGGGGAACCGAACCCGCACUCCCUUUACUUCCCGGACCCGGACCGUGCAAAGGCACUACCCAAACCAGGGUAAGGGUCCUCGCUGCUGCCCACGGAAGACCACGUCUAACCAUCCCAACUUCUGAGAACUGUCUACCCAAGUACUUCUCAGGUCCGUCCGGGUCCUCCAGCCUUUCCUAGGCUGGCCCUACAUAACCCUGACUGCUUCGACAGGCUCCUCCAUUGUUUAUUGCAGGGAUGCUUCUUUCUCCCAUCUACCCAUCCCUCCUUCCCUUCCACUGAGGUUGAAUGAAAUCUUUAUGAAUCUGAUCAUGUCAGUCCUUUGAUUUGUGGUUUAAAAAUCUGGGGCUCUAUAGUCAAUUUCCUGAGUUACAACUCACUCUCAUUUUAUAUGUGAAUUUGGGCAAGUCUCUCCUAAGCAUUAUUUUCUCACUUUUAAAAUGAAAAUAAUAGACUUAAUUGAGAUAGUCUGUAGCUUUUAUAGCCCAGCAUCUAGCUCUUUACUGUGCAUUAGAAGUGUUAGCUAUUAUUUCUACUAUAACUUUUCCAUCCGGUUCACAUGAUAAUACCCUGAACAGUGUAAUUGUUUCAAGACAGUAAGUAGGCUUUUGUUCAAGCCAGGGGAGCCCAUGACCCCUAGUUGGCCUAGAAAAAAAAAGUCUUUAAAAGUCUCAACUGGGGGAAAAAAAAAAAAAGACUCAGCUGAAACUUUAUUUCCUCUAAAGCUGUUUCUGACCUUGCUUAUAUCCACCCAGACUUAGUCUCAAAUUGUUAUUGACCUUCACUCACCUGGAAUUGAUCAUUACCUACUUUGUACCUAAACAAUGCUUUUGAGGUAUUUUACUUGUUUACAUGUCAGCUUCUACCUGCUAGACUGACUUUCUGGAGGGUAGGAUAUAGGUCACAUCCAAUUCUAUGUCCCCAAGUCACAACAUGGUAUCUGAUAUAAAAUAGGAGCUCAUACUGUUCUCCAGGAGGGAACAUGUUCUCAGCACCCUGCUCUGCCUUAGAAGGCAUCUUGCACAUGGCCUGGCAAGAGUUGCAAGUAAAGGAACACCUCACUUAGGUAAAAGAGAACAGGGAAAGGCCAUAAUCAAAGACAGACUUGUAGUUUACUUGUACUUUACAUUAAAGAAAAAAACAGGAGUUCAGCUAGCAUUUAAAGAAUAGUAAUAAAUAAAAUUAUGUACUUGAUUCUGUCCCCAGUGAAGGAUAUGGAGAAUAAGUCCAAGGACAUUUCCCCUAUCUGCAGCUAUUCCCCCCACCCACCUGCUCUGGGGUAAAAUUGAAGCAUUUGUCAUUUAAAAGUCCAGGCUUCAGUCAGAGGGAAGGAACACAAAAUGAACUCUCACCUGACUGGCACCUAUUCUCCCACCCUUAGGGAUCAGGCCACCCCAAUACAAUGAACCCCAGGAACUACCCUCCAGGCCCACCCUAAAUGAAUCCUAUAUAACCUAGACCCUUGCUUUAGAGGGCAGUCACACCCCCACCCUCCACACCCCCACACCCCUGUAUCAGGUGAUAAAGAAGAGCUUGCUGAUCUGAGUUCUGCUUCCUAUCUCCCACUUCCACCAUUUGUGCUUAUACCCAGGUCCCUUAAGUAGUAUAAGAAAUGGAGAAGUGCUGUGUCAUGCAGACAAAGUGCUGGGUAUCAGGAGUGGGAGAGGCAGCCUGGCCGGUUGAAAUAAUAA
rnacentral:lncRNA from 1 species